rnacentral:tRNA from 1 species
GCCGCGGUAGCUCAGUGGUAGAGCAUGCGACUGAAAAUCGCAGGGGCGCCGGUUCGAUCCCGGCCCGCGGCACAA